AGCAGCCGUCUGUGUCGCUGUCGCUGUCGCUUUCUCCGCGCGCCCCUCGGAACCCGCUCCCCACCAUGCCCAACAUCGUGCUCUUCAGCGGCAGCUCGCACCAGGACCUGUCCCAGCGCGUGGCCGAUCGCCUGGGCCUGGAGCUGGGCAAGGUGGUCACCAAGAAGUUCAGCAACCAGGAGACCAGCGUGGAGAUUGGUGAAAGUGUGAGAGGGGAAGAUGUCUAUAUCAUCCAGAGUGGAUGUGGUGAAAUUAACGACAACCUGAUGGAACUGCUUAUCAUGAUCAACGCGUGCAAAAUUGCCUCUUCCUCCAGGGUGACCGCAGUGAUCCCGUGUUUCCCAUACGCCCGGCAAGACAAAAAGGACAAGGUAGGAGAGGUGUCCGUUGCUCCAAUUUCUGCAAAACUUGUGGCCAACAUGCUGUCGGUUGCGGAGCUGAUCACAUCAUCACCAUGGACUUGCAUGCUUUCUCAGAUACAGGGAUUCUUGAUAUUCCUGUGGAUAAUUUAUACGCGGAGCCUGCAGUCUGCAGUGGAUUCGGGAGAACAUCACGGAGUGGAGGAACUGCAUCAUUGUUUCACCCGAUGCGGGGGGGAGCCAAAAG